GACGAACGCUGGCGGCGUGCUUAACACAUGCAAGUCGAACGGGCUCUGUCUGGCUGUGUGCUGGGUGGGGUUAGUGGCGAACGGGUGAGUAAUACGUGAGUAACCUGCCCUCUUCUUUGGGAUAAGCCUUGGAAACGGGGUCUAAUACUGGAUAUUCCUGUCUGGUCGCAUGGCUGGGUGGGGAAAGUUUUUUUCGGUGGGGGAUGGGCUCGCGGCCUAUCAGCUUGUUGGUGGGGUGAUAGCCUACCAAGGCGUCGACGGGUAGCCGGCCUGAGAGGGUGACCGGCCCCACUGGGACUGAGAUACGGCCCAGACUCCUACGGGAGGCAGCAGUGGGGGAUAUUGCACAAUGGGCGCAAGCCUGAUGCAGCGACGCCGCGUGGGGGAUGACGGCUUUCGGGUUGUAAACCUCUUUCGUCGGGGGACAAGGCUCUGCUUGGUGGUGGGGUUGAGGGUACCCGGUGAAGAAGCGCCGGCUAACUACGUG
rnacentral:rRNA from 1 species